rnacentral:lncRNA from 10 species
AUCUAAUCCACCUUCCACCUCAUCCUAGAUCUCAAGCCGGAACUGGAAGCUGACGCUUUCUGAGGCAGCCUAUCCACUGUAGGAGAGUUCUGAUUGGCUGAGAGACAGUGACCAACACCUUCAGGACGAACAAUAUCCAGAUCCAGAGCCGGGACCAGAGGCUGCUGACACUGUCGCUGGACAAGGACGAUCAACGCACUUUCAGGGAUGUGGUCAGAUUCGAGGUUGCUCCCUGCCCAGAACCAUGUUCUGGGGCCCAGAAGUCCAAGGCACCGUGGCUCAAUUUGCAUGGGCAACAGGAGGUGGAAGCAAUCAAAGCCAAGCCCAAGCCCCUUCUGAUGCCCAUCAACACAUUCUCUGGUAUUGUCCAGUGAGCCUGCAGGGACAGCAGGCCCAGGAGGAAGGAUACACUACCCCACCAACUCCAAACACUCACACCAACAGCCAGAGCAAGGCCCGGCUCCACACGGCAGCUUUGGCCUUGACCAGGAGCCAGCGAGUGCCUGGGAGCACAGGGAGCCUACCCUGGGGACUGUGAUGAGGAAGGGCCCACAUGGAGGUCUACGGAUGGCCCAGGCAAUGCUGUCGCUGCUUGAGAACAUACACACCAAGCCCAGCUUCUCAUACAAAUGUCUACUCCUUCAUUUAGCUUCAAUUCCCACUUCUCCCACUGUCCUCUCCCACCCAAGCUCCCCAUCCAGCCCUUAAAACCAGGGUUAAAGCUGCUGUCUUGGCCAGAGCCCUGUGGCCUAGGGGAAAAUUGGAAGCAAGGAACAGCAACAGCACCACCUCCCUCCCAAGUCUCUUCCCUUCCCACUCUCAGGCCACUGCCCACCUCACUCAGCCCAGGCAG